UUGAACGCUGGCGGCAGGCUUAACACCUGCAAGUCGAGCGGUAGCACAGGGGAGCUUGCUCCCUGGGUGACGAGCAGCGGACGGGUGAGUAAUGUCUGGGAAACUGCCUGAUGGAGGGGGAUAACUACUGGAAACGGUAGCUAAUACCGCAUAACGUCGCAAGACCAAAGAGGGGGACCUUCGGGCCUCUUGCCAUCAGAUGUGCCCAGAUGGGAUUAGCUAGUAGGUGGGGUAAUGGCUCACCUAGGCGACGAUCCCUAGCUGGUCUGAGAGGAUGACCAGCCACACUGGAACUGAGACACGGUCCAGACUCCUACGGGAGGCGGCAGUGGGGAAUAUUGCACAAUGGGCGCAAGCCUGAUGCAGCCAUGCCGCGUGUGUGAAGAAGGCCUUCGGGUUGUAAAGCACUUUCAGCGAGGAGGAAGGUGGUGAGCUUAAUACGUUCAUCAAUUGACGUUACUCGCAGAAGAAGCACCGGCUAACUCCGUG
rnacentral:rRNA from 1 species